AUGAAAAUAUUAUCGUGGAACUGCCGAGGUCUUGGGAACGCCCCGACAGUGCGUGCCCUGCUGGAUGUCCAGCGAAGAUGUUCCCCUGACGUGGUGUUUUUGUCGGAGACCCAGCUUGAUAGCUAUCCGGCAGAAUGUUUAAGGAGGAGGAUGAAGAUGGACCAGAAACUUGUAUGCACGAGUAAUGGAAGAAGUGGUGGUUUAGUUCUUUUUUGGAAUAAUCAUAUCAAUGUACGUAGGAUUGCCCUAGAUACUAUGUUCAUUGAUGUAAUAAUUGAGGAUAAUAGUAACAAUCCAGUUUGGCAUUUGACGGGGAUGUAUGGUGAAUUUAGAUGGGAAAAUAAGAUCUGA
rnacentral:rRNA from 1 species